AUAAGGGCGCGUGGUGGAUGCCUUGGCACUAGGAGCCGAUGAAGGACGUGACUAACUACGAUAAGCUUUGGUGAGCGGUAAGUACGCUAUGACCCAGAGAUUUCCGAAUGGGGAAACCCAACUCGAAGAGAGUUGUCAUUAUCUGAAUACAUAGGAUAAUGACGGAACACGCUGUGAACUGAAACAUCUCAUUAGCAGCAGGAGAAGAAAGAAAAAUCGAUUCCCUAAGUAGCGGCGAGCGAAAAGGGAAGAGCCCAAACCAGAGUGCUUGCACUCUGGGGUUGUAGGACUGAUAUAUAGGAGUUACAAAAGUGUUUUAUAGCAGAACAAGCUGGGAAGCUUGGCUAUAGAGGGUGAUAGCCCCGUACGCGAAAUAAAGCACCCUCCUUUCAGUAUCCUGAGUACGGCCGGACACGUGAAAUCCGGUCGGAAUCUGCGGGGACCAUCCCGUAAGGCUAAAUACUCCCUAGUGACCGAUAGUGAACCAGUACCGUGAGGGAAAGGUGAAAAGCACCCCGGAAGGGGAGUGAAAUAGUUCCUGAAACCACGACGCCUACAAGAAGUCAGAGCCCGUUAAUGGGUGAUGGCGUGCCUUUUGUAGAAUGAACCGGCGAGUUACGGUAUCGUGCAAGGUUAAGGUGGAAAGACCGGAGCCGCAGCGAAAGCGAGUGUGAAUAGCGCGAAUAGUACGAUGCUGUAGACCCGAAACCAGGUGACCUACCCAUGGUCAGGAUGAAGGUGAGGUAAAACUUACUGGAGGUCCGAACCGGUGCAUGUUAAAAAAUGCUCGGAUGAACUGUGGGUAGCGGUGAAAUUCCAAACGAACUUGGAGAUAGCUGGUUCUCUCCGAAAUAGCUUUAGGGCUAGCCUCAUUAUUAGCAUACUGGAGGUAGAGCACUGUUAAGCCUAGGGGCCCACCUCGGGUUACCAAAGUUUGAUAAACUCCGAAUGCCAGAUAUGUAUGAAUGGGAGUCAGACGAUGAGUGAUAAGAUCCACCGUCGAAAGGGGAACAGCCCAGAUCGCCAGUUAAGGUCCCUAAAUAUAUGUUAAGUGGAAAACGAUGUGAUAGUGCAUAGACAACUAGGAUGUUGGCUUAGAAGCAGCCACCAUUUAAAGAGUGCGUAAUAGCUCACUAGUCGAGUGCCAUUGCGCGGAAAAUGUACCGGGGCUAAACAUAUUACCGAAACUGCGGGUGCACGUAAGUGCGCGAUAGGAGAGCGUUGUAAGGGCAAUGAAGGUAGACCGUGAGGACUGCUGGAGCGCUUACAAGUGAGAAUGCCGGUAUGAGUAGCGAAAGACAGGUGAGAAUCCUGUCCACCGAAUGACUAAGGUUUCCUGGGGAAGGCUCGUCCACCCAGGGUUAGUCGGGACCUAAGGCGAGGCUGAGAAGCGUAGUCGAUGGAUAACAGGUUGAGAUUCCUGUACCAGUAGUAAUGCGUUUGACCGAUGGAGGGACGCAGGAGGCUACCAGAUGCGCACUGAUGGAUAUGUGCGUGCAAGCAGUAAGUCUUGUAGAGAGUGAAAUGCUUUCUACUCUAAGGACAAGCUGUGAUGCGGAUCGAAAUAAAGUAGAGAAGUCUGAGACGUCACACUGCCGAGAAAAGCUUCUAGGAAGUAUUACACUGCCCGUACCGCAAACCGACACAGGUAGUCGAGUGGAGAACACUAAGGUGAGCGAGAGAACCCUCGUUAAGGAACUCGGCAAAAUGACCCCGUAACUUCGGGAGAAGGGGUGCUCAUGGCAACAUGAGCCGCAGUGAAUAGGCCCAGGCGACUGUUUAUCAAAAACACAGGUUUCUGCAAAAUCGUAAGAUGAAGUAUAGGGGCUGACGCCUGCCCGGUGCUGGAAGGUUANNUCUGGGCACUGUCUCAACGAGGGACUCGGUGAAAUUUAAAUACCCGUGAAGAUGCGGGUUACCCGCGACAGGACGGAAAGACCCCAUGGAGCUUUACUGUAGCUUGAUAUUGAAUGUUUGUGCUGCUUGUACAGAAUAGGUAGGAGACGAAGAAGUUUGGACGCCAGUCUAGACGGAGUCGAAAUGUGGGAUACUACCCUCGUUGUAUGAACAUUCUAACACUGGUCGCUUAUCGCGAUCGUGGACAGUGUCUGGCGGGCAGUUUGACUGGGGCGGUCGCCUCCUAAAAGGUAACGGAGGCGCCCAAAGGUUUGCUCAGAAUGGUUGGAAAUCAUUCGUAGCGUGUAAAGGCAUAAGCAAGCUUGACUGCGAGAGUUACAACUCGAGCAGGUACGAAAGUAGGACUUAGUGAUCCGGUGGUUCCGCAUGGAAGGGCCAUCGCUCAACGGAUAAAAGCUACCCUGGGGAUAACAGGCUCAUCUCCCCCAAGAGUCCACAUCGACGGGGAGGUUUGGCACCUCGAUGUCGGCUCAUCGCAUCCUGGGGCUGUAGUCGGUCCCAAGGGUUGGGCUGUUCGCCCAUUAAAGCGGUACGCGAGCUGGGUUCAGAACGUCGUGAGACAGUUCGGUCCCUAUCCGUCGCGGGCGCAGGAAAUUUGAGAGGAGUUGCCCUUAGUACGAGAGGACCGGGGUGAACAAACCGCUGGUGUACCAGUUGUUCCGCCAGGAGCAUCGCUGGGUAGCUAUGUUUGGAUGAGAUAAACGCUGAAAGCAUCUAAGUGUGAAACUCGCCUCGAGAUGAGAUUUCCCAUUCUUUAUGAAGUAAGACCCCUUAGAGAUGAUGAGGUAGAUAGGCUAGAAGUGGAAGUACAGUGAUGUAUGUAGCGGACUAGUACUAAUAGGUCGAGGACUUAACC
rnacentral:rRNA from 1 species